UUAACUUAUUUAGCUAAUUGCUCAGACUGCAAUCUUCAGACAGCGUUCAAUGGUGUCUUCGGCGGGCACGGGCCCGGGGGCAGAAGCCCCCCGGCGGCCGUGAGGCGGGCCCGCCAAAGCAACAAGGUAUAAUAAACACGGGUGGGAGGUUGGACCCAGAGGGCCCUCACUCGGUAAUGAUCCUUCCGCAGGUUCACCUACGGAAA
rnacentral:misc_RNA from 1 species